GUUUGAUCCACUGCCUCCCACCCCCCAGCCCUCUGCAGUGGCACAUGAUGCAGGUACUGUGCAUGUGAGGGAAUCUGACAGAGUCUGUCGUUGGUGGCUGACCUCCAAUCUGCUAAGCACACCUCUGCCUCUGCUAGCCACACAACCACUGCCUCCUGCUUGGCCCUGUCCAGGGGAUGACAGUAAACAGGCCCACAGUGUUUCCCAAACCCCCUUUCUCACCCCCCAGUAAUUAUUUUGCAAUAGCUUAUGUUCUGUGGGGUUAGGGUCAACUUGUCUUAUCUGGACAAAGCGUCUUAGAGUAGGAGUGCUGAUCUAGGAUCAGUUUUUCCUUUAAGAUCAUCAUUAAUCAAAUUAUAUUGACUAGUGGGACCUGACCCUAGGUCAGCUCUCCUACUCUUGUGGCGUAUUUCCAUAUUGGAUUUACCCCAGUGCUUUACCCAAAAGGCUCAGACUUUUCGGGUUUCCAUCUACGCGGGCCAGAACCUGUGUCUCACUGGGCCAUGGCUCCAGCAGACCUGCUCUCAGUUGGGGCCAAAGCCAGGCCACUGGUACUUUUCAGCUAGCAUUUACAUAACUAUGGCUAACUGAAUUCUAACACCUCACAAUGCAACUGUUUUGAUUAUGCAGAGGUUGUUGAUUCUGCUCCUCACAAGUCCUCGCUUUCAGUCCUAGCUAUGGAAACACAGUAUCCCUAGUAUAACAUAAGGGUGUAUACACUAGUGUAAAAAUGGUGCUACAGUCGAAAAACAACAUUGGAUGCUUUGUGAAUAUGGGCCCUGGUGAAGUGUGUGAUCUUAGGCAUGCUCCCAUGGCUCCAGCAAGACCUGCUCUCACUUGGGGCCAAAGCCAGAGGACCUGAGCCCCUGCUCGGGUUGGCGUUCCGACUGCAGCUAUGGUCUUCUGGCCUGAUAUCACCGGGCGUGCUACCUUAUCCUGGACCACUGCUAGAGUCCUCACUGUCAGUCCUAGCUCAGCCAGGACCCUACUAAUGCUAUGUUGAACGAGCACCAUGGACGGAGGGGGAGGAAAACAGACAGCUACUCUCUACCACACAUUCACCAAGUCAUGAACAAUUUUUGCAUUUUCUAAAAUAAAUGUGUAAUACAUUUUGUUCA